GCCGGGGGCUGCCGCGCCAGGCUCAGGUGGCUGAACUGCGAUCCCAGGUUGUCUGGCUGCAGGCGUGGGAAAAACAGGAAAAACUACAUUUGCAAACGCACGUUCGAGGAACAAGAAAUAGCCAAAUACCUCAGAAGAUUUGGUUCAUACUUGGUUCAAAGUGGACUCUCCAAACAUAGAGAACAUUAAAACUAUUUCAAGACCAAUUGGUCCUAAAUCAUCCUGAAGAUAGGAAUUAAUCAAGAAAAGUCUCUGAAUUUACUGCCCUGCAAUCACCAACUCCCACUCCACUGAGACGUGCCAGUGUGCACUGGGUGGUUGAUGUCAGCAACAUCCCUGCUCGGCGAGGGAGCCGCGAACCUGCCUAUGAGGAAAAGAUAUCAGAGUACACAGAUCCUCCAAGAAGUCCCUGCCCAGGAGGCUCAGCAGGAAGUGCAGUCAUGGAGAAGACAGGCUCCAGGAGGAAAAGCAGUGCUGAGGGUGUUCCUUGUUGUUGGUGUGGGCAGGGAGAUGUGCAGAGGCCUCAGCUGGCCCUUGGAUUGUGAAGCACAUCAGGGGAUCACUGAGAAAGUGAUGGGGCACAUCAACAACCAAGGGCUUAAAGCUGGCACCUGUGGCAAUGUGCUGACAUCUUAGAAAGGCAAAAAAGCUAAAACUCAAGGUGGCAGAAAGGAACGCUGUUCUUGAAACUGCUUGCACUGGUUCUAAUAAACUAUUAAAACGCAAUGAAAUCCAGUGAUGCACAGUUCAUAAUCUGGGCACAUCAAGUAACUGAGCUUCCCAGUCACUGCAUGGAAACCCAUGGAGAUCUUCACCUUCUUAUUUCCACUGGGUUCAAACAGGAACCA